UCGGAACUGCAUCGAAAAGAUAGUUCUUUGCCACCUAAACAGCCGCAGAAGAGGGCGGAGACCGAGGAAGAGAGGAGGGCAAGGAAGAAGAGGGAGUACGAGAAGCAGAGGGCAGAGGAGAGGAGGCAGCAUAUGCUGAAACAGUCACAGGCGAGCGUGCUGCAGAGGACCAAGGAGGCUGUGGGUUCGAGAGGAUCAGGUCAUAGUAAGCACCAUCACGGAUCGGCCUCCGGUUCGAAGAUGAUGGACAGGAGGUCGACACCAUUGUUGAGCGGGGAUAGGAUUGAGAAUCGGCUCAAGAAGCCUACGACAUUCCUUUGCAGGAUGAAGUUUCGGAAUGAGUUGCCAGAUCCAACAGCACAACCGAAAUUGUUGCCUGUAUUGACUGAUAAAGAUCGAUAUACUAGGUAUACUAUCACCUCACUGGAGAAAAAUUACAAGCCCAAGCUUUUUGUUGAACCUGAUAUGGGGAUACCUCUUGACUUACUUGAUCUUAGUGUAUACAAAGCUCCUGAAGUUCCCCCACCCCUUGAUCCAGAAGAUGAAGCACUAUUACAUGAUAGUGAGGUUGCAACCCCUAUUAAACAUGAAGGUAUUCGAAUAAAAGAGCGUCCUACGGAUAAAGGCGUCUCAUGGUUGGUGAAGACACAAUAUAUCUCACCUCUUAGCACAGAUUCAGCUAAACUGUCCUUGACAGAAAAGCAAGCGAAAGAAAUGCGGGAAGCUAGGGAAGGGCGGAAUUUCUCAUUGGAAAAUCUUAACAGCAGAGAAAAACAAAUACAAGCAAUUGAGGAGUCCUUCAAGGCUGCCAAAUUACCACCGGUCCAUCAGACCAAUCCAUCAUUAAAACCUGUGGAGGUUCUUCCCCUGUUGCCUGAUCUUGAUCGGUAUGACGAUCGAUUUGUCAUGGUAGGAUUUGACAGUGAUCCUACGGCUGAUUCUGAAGCAUACAGUAAACUAGACAGAUCCACUCGGGACGAAGUGGAAUCACUGGCUAUCAUGAAGAGUUUUGUCGUAAAUGGUUCUGAUCCUACAAAGCCAGAAAAGUUUUUAUCGUACAUGGUUCCUGCACCAGAUGAGCUAAACAAGGACAUGUAUGAUGAAAGUGAAGAUAUGUCAUACUCUUGGGUCAGAGAGUAUCACUGGGAUGUGAGAGGUGAUGAUGCUGAUGACCCCACAACAUACCUUGUUAAUUUUGGAGAAGAAGAUGCACGAUAUUUGCCACUUCCUACAAAGCUUGUAUUACAAAAGAAGAAGGCCAAAGAAGGAAGGUCAGGGGAUGAAGUUGAACAUUAUCCUGUGCCUUCAAGCGUGACUGUAAGGAAGAGACCAACUGUUGCUGUUGUCGAGCAGAAGGAAUCUGCAGGAACAUCAUCUAAUAAUGGCACAGGAGAUGUCACCGGUUUAAAGCAUGAUAGAUCUUUCAGGGAUUAUGAAUCUGGAACACGGCAUAAAAUCCCUCGAAUGGACAGCAUGGAUCAAUUCAGUGGAGAGGAAGACAUGUCAGACUGAUUCUUAAUAUCCCAUUGGACUCUGGAUGCUGGGAGUCUUUAAGUCUUACACUGAUAUACAGUAUUGGAUUUGCUCUUUGUGGAGCAGAUGAGUCAGUUUGCAGAGAUGAGCAUCUCCGAGAUGGUGGGGUUCGGUAUUUUUAGCUCAAGGUUGAGUCUCCCUUUGCCCUAGUUCCUGUGAAUCUGAGGACAUGGGUGAUGGUGCCGCCGGCAGUGUUAUUAUAUGAAAGUCACUUAAAAACACGACUGCAUGUGAUUAUAUAAGGGAGAAUCUAGAGUCAUGUUAUACUUUGGAUAAGUUCUUAUGCAGAGGAUGCAGGAGGCAUAUUGAGUUUGCAUGUAAAAUGAAACUUGUAAAACAGCUGUAGUGGCAGAAGAAGGUUACGAAGUAUUGUAUAUUUAACUGAUCUAGCUCCAGAAAUGUCUUUAAACACACAAUAAUUUUCUAUCUAGAUUCAGGCUAUUGAAGCGCAAGAAUUCUUUCUGAAGGUUUUGCUGGAGUAUGAUGCUGUUAUGAUCUCACUGCCAACUUGCAAGUCAAGAGGAUUUUCUAGCUGUAUAUGGUAAUUGCACAUAGUUUGUGAUGAUGCAUAUUUUCUGUACGAUUCAAAUCAGUCACAAGAUGAAGUUUUUCCUUUCUAGCCUGCACAAGAAAUUGCAUUCUCUACAGUAAAUAAAUGGCUAUAAGUUAUUUGCUUUGAUUA